GGAGCAUAGCCCAUGCAUAUAAAGGGCAUUUUAGAAUCGGAUUAUGUGGUUAAAAAUUUGGUUCAAAGGGCUAUAUUUUGCAUGCAAAAAAACUAAAGGUUUGAAGUUGAUUUGAAUGAGCAAUGAUUGCUUGAAGACAACAUUUCAAAUUUGGAUUAAGAGUACCUACUAGAGUUUCUAAGAUGCUCAACAAUCUGUAGUAGAUUUAUGAUCUAUUUUUUUUGUGAUAAAGCUUAAGGGUAAGUUCUACAUUUUCUAGAAAUUUGAAAAAACUUUAACAAUUGGAUCAAGAGAUAUAAUAUUCUAAAUUUUGGAGGAAAAAAAAUCUUUUGUAGGAAAAAAAUAUUUUGAAAGAAUUUUGUUACAAUUUGAGCAUUUUAUGUAAAGAGAUUUAAGAGAGCCAAGACUUUAUAUAUAUAGAUAUAGAUAUAGAUAUAUAGAUAUAUAUUUAAAAAAAAAAAAGAUAUAGUGCUAAGGAAAAAUUAUGGUAUAAAGAUGGAUUUUUGUAAAGAGAUUAUGGAUUUUCUUUGAGCUUAUGGAAAAUCUAACUUAUUGGCAA
rnacentral:lncRNA from 1 species